UUCCGGUUGAUCCUGCCGGACCCCACUGCUAUCGAGGUGGGACUAAGCCAUGCUAGUUGAGCGCACAGAACUAUGUCUGUGAGCGGCACACUGCUCAGUAACACGUAGCUAACCUACCCUUAGGACGUGGACAACCCCGAGAAAUUGGGGCUAAUCCGCGAUAGAUGUAUUGUCCUGGAAUGGUAUUACGUCUAAAGGUAUCCCAUACAUGUUUGGUAUACGCCUAAGGAUGGGGCUGCGGCCGAUCAGGCUGUUGGUGAGGUAAUGGCUCACCAAACCUUUGACCGGUACGGGCCAUGAGAGUGGUAGCCCGGAGAUGGACACUGAGACAAGGGUCCAGGCCCUACGGGGCGCAGCAGGCGCGAAACCUCCUCAAUGCACUUACGUGCGAAGGGGCUACCUCGAGUGCCACCUGAUGAAGGUGGCUUUUCCUAGGUCUAAAAGCCUUGGAAUAAGAGGGGGCAAGACUGGUGUCAGCCGCCGCGGUAACACCAGCCCCUCGAGUGGUGGGGAUGAUUAUUGGGCCUAAAGCGUCCGUAGCCUGCCGUGUAAGUUUCCCGUUAAAUCCAGCGUCUCAAGCGUUGGACCGCGGGAAAUACUGUACGGCUAGAGAGUGGGAGAGGUCAGCGGUAUUUUGGGGGUAGGGGCGAAAUCCUUUGAUCCCCGGAGGACCACCAGUGGCGAAGGCUGCUGUCUAGAACACGUCUGACGGUCAGGGACGAAAGCUGGGGUAGCGAACCGGAUUAGAUACCCGGGUAGUCCCAGCCGUAAACGAUGCAUGCUAGGUGUUGGGUUGGCCACGAGCCACCCCAGUGCCGCAGGGAAGCCGUUAAGCAUGCCGCCUGGGAAGUACGAUCGCAAGGUUGAAACUUAAAGGAAUUGGCGGGGGAGCACCACCAGGCGUGAAGCCUGCGGUUUAAUUGGAUUCAACGCCGGG
rnacentral:rRNA from 1 species